UAACAAUAAUAAUAUAAUAAUAAUAUAUAAUGUUUAAUAAUAAUAAUAAUAUAUUACGUUUAAUAAUAAUAAUAAUAUAAUAUAUAUAUAUAUAAUAUGAAAAGAAAGAAAGAAUCCAACGCAGCAGCAGCAACGAACCAAAUGAGGAGAAGGAAGGGAGGAAGAAGAAGGAGAAAGAAAGAAAAAAAAAAGAAAGAAAAAGAUUUAGCCGUCCGAUUCCAAUUCCGACUUGGGUGUACGUUGGAGGAGAUUUGGAUGAAGUUAUAAAAUCCAGAAAGUAUCGGUAGGAGGUACGCAUGGCACCUCCGGGACAGGGGACGUCUCGGGAGAUAGAAA